rnacentral:misc_RNA from 1 species
GUGACAUUUGAUGUAGCGCCCCGUUAAUGAGAUAAUGAUUUUAUUAAUAAUAAAAUAAAAUUAGUAAAAGUUAAAAAAUUUUAAAUUUAAUAGAUAAUUUUUAUAAUAUAAAAUAAAAUUAUAAAAAUUUUAAAAUUACAUGAUUUUUUUAGCCGUUAUUCUUAUUAUAUUUAAUUAUAAAAUUAAAAUAUCAAAUUUAAAUGCACUUAAAAAUAGAUUAAUUAAAAAAUUGUAAAUAAAUAAAAUUAAAUACUUAUAUAAAUUGAAACAUUUAAGAAACAUAAAAAUAAGAAAAAUAAAGUUUAUAAUUG